UUCAAAGUUUUAGUUAGUUACAUAAACCCACAUGUGAACUGGAACAGCAGCAAGCCAUGGUCUUCCCAGUUUAGCAAAAGCUUUGAGUGAAAACAAAAGGGACCUACCUGAAAUCAGGUGAACGAUCCGCGUCGAGUCCAUAGAAACCAGCGGAUAAGGUCAAAAGCCACCGUGGUAUGAAAUUUCCAUUUUCACACUCCAGUCCCGUCACACUGUAGAGGCUGGAGGCAUCUGGCCUGGAUAGGAGCGCGAGAGAAGACAGGCAUGACGGAGGGUGACAGCUGGGAGCUGGCCUGUUUGCUGCAGGCCACCCAGGGACCAGAGCCAGAGAAGACCUGGGCCCUUCAGCAUUCAUGGACCAGCGAGUGAAUUCACAACUCAAACAGACACAACGAAGUCUGCAGGCCAAGACCUUCAAGAUUCAAGAUGUGCUUUUAAUGAUGACUCGACAUGCUUCUGCUGUGUCACUGAUGGUCUCAGGAUUCUCUAAGUAGUGCUCGUUACGUUCCAGCUCUCUGGACAAAGCCUUGGAUGUUUGCUCUGACCUCACCUACUGCUGAACCCAGAAAGCUCCAUACAGACAUAAGCGGGAACAACCAAAGUGACCUUUGUCUGCUUAGGUCUGCUUGCAUUGUAGUCAAUCAUUUCCAGUAUGUAAUUUAGCAUGAAAAAAAACAUAGGCCUUUCACACGUAGAUUGCAGAAUGUCCACGUAGUCUUUCUUUUUGGGUAAUAGCUGUGGUGUUUAUUUACAUUUUCAGUUACAGGAUGUCUUCAGCGCCUUCUUUGGCCAAUACAUUAGCCUCUUGGAUAAGGCAAUGAUUGAUGCAAAGUUUCCCCUGGUGUGGAGCCUGUUGC